CCUACGGGAGGCAGCAGUGGGGAAUAUUGGACAAUGGGCGCAAGCCUGAUCCAGCCAUGCCGCGUGAGUGAUGAAGGCCGUAGGGUUGUAAAGCUCUUUCACCGAUGAAGAUAAUGACGGUAGUCGGAGAAGAAGCCCCGGCUAACUUCGUGCCAGCAGCCGCGGUAAU
rnacentral:rRNA from 1 species